AACAUUUGUCACUAUUGUGUUACUCAAAGAAACUUUGAAAUAUAUUUCAUAUAAUUAGGUUUGGCAACUAAAGUGAAAAUAAUUAUUAAAUGACUUUCAAUCGGCUUCCUGUAAACUGGUUUGGGGUGGGCUUAUAAAAUCAUAAACCCUGAUAAUUUUUAUCAUGGCAGUUAUACACAUCUCCUGAUAGUAAUCUUGGCUGAAAUAUGUUUUUCACUAGACCAAUCUUUAAGAACUGAAUUUCAUAAUCCUUAACAUCCCUGUAGAUGAGGUUUCUUGACUAUUUGUUAAAUUGCAUGUAUUUGUGUACUAUGCACAUUCUUUCUAAUCAUCACCCUCUCUCUUCUCCUUUAUGAAAAGUGCAACAGAUAACCUUGUAUGGUUGCUCACCUGUGAUAGCCGCUGUUGUCCUUCUGGCUGUGUUUCUGGCAGCCUGCUUUUUUUGCAGAAUCAGUAAAUCAGGUGAAUCUAAUGGAAGCUCUGCAGGAGAUCCAUUGCAUAUCUCCAUAUAAAAGAUUCAGAGAGUGUGAAGAAAAUCUUAAAUCAGGAAAAAGGCCAUCAUCAAAUACUGUAUAUCAUCAUUCAAAGAUUAAUUAAAAUGAGAAAUACUGCAGUAUAUUUUUUAUAAUAUACAAUAUUUGUAAUAUUUUAUUUUAAGUCUUAUAUUAAAGACCAAUUCUAGCUGUUAACUAACUAUUCAAGUCCAAUUACCUUUAUUUAUAUAGUGCUUUAUACAACACAGAUUGUGUCAAAGUAUCUUUACAGUUAAGAAAUAGUGUAAUGCAAACAAGAUUCAAUACUGCUAUAAAGCAGUUCUAAAAAGAGGACAAUAGUAAACAGUAACAACCUAUUGACUAUUAUUAUUAUUUUGUAUUUUUAUUUUGUUUUAUUUAUUUCUUUUGCCUCAAUGUACUCCUAAUUUGCUAGUUUAAUAAUUAAUAGUGUGAAUUGGUCCUUAAAUAUAUAGGUGUGUGCACAUCUGUUUAUUUCAUAUUUAGAAAUGUAUCUAUGUUCAAAAAUACCUGCUGCAUGAUGCUGCUCUUUUAUUUUAUAUUAUUUCAUUAAGACGAAAUGAAAAAAAAAAUUGGAACAUAUCUAUAGUAUCUAUAGUAUUUUUGUAUCAGAUAUUUUUACUUUAACAACUUAUAUAUGACCCUGGACUAUAAAUCCAGUCUUAAGUCGCUGGGGUAUAUUUGUACCAAUAGCCAAAAAAUACAUUGUAUUGGUCAAAAUGAUAGAUUUUUCUUUUAUGCCAAAAAUUAUUCGGAUAUUAAGUAAAGAUCAUGUCCCAUGAAGAUAUUUUGUAAAUUUCCUACCAUAAAUAUAUCAAAACUUAGUUUUUGAUAAGUAAUAUGCAUUGCUAAGAACUUAAUUUGGACAAUUUUAAAGGUGAUUUUCUCAGUAUUUCAAUUUUUUUUUGCACCCUUAGAUUCCAGAUAUUCAAACUGUUCAAAAGAAAUUCAAAACAUACAUCAAUGGAAAGCUUAUUUAUUCAGCUUUUAUGUGAUGUAUAAAUCUCAAUUUUGGAAAAUUGACACUUAAGACUUUCUCUUGUAUAUGUAAAUUUUAUUUGUACUAAUUGGAUGUUGGAAAUUGCUCCUUGUAUUAAUUGUUGUCUUGAAAUUGCUAAAUGUUUUACCAGACUGUCUUUUGUUUAAUUUGAACUUUUAAUACAAGUGACUGUGAAUCUACAAUUAUUUAGCCCAACAUCUUAUGAACAAAAUUUGUUCUGAUGCAGUGUCAUGUUUCUGACAAUAGAAUACCUUAUCUAAAUUGCCUUUUAAAUGUUGAUGACUGAAUUUGAUGACUGCCUAGACAAAAAUAAAAUUGUACCAUUUUAUGU